GAUUUCAACUGAAAAAUUUAUCAACAACAAAGUUGAAUAACUCAUCAAGAUCUAAAACUUUUAUUUUGAUCAUUUCUUCAUCCGAUAAAGUGAUAGUAACAUUGUUCACAAAAUUGAUGUAUCUCUUAUCUGGUUUUAUAAACUAUAACACAUAUAUGUAAAAUUUGUAAACAAAUUUACUAACAUUUUGUCCGAUGAAGAAAUGACAAAAAUAAAAGUUUUAGAUCUUGAUGAGUUAUACAAUUUUGUUGUUGAUGACUUUUUCAAUUGAAAUC
rnacentral:pre_miRNA from 1 species